CAAGUCUCAUUGAUUUUUGUUACUAAUUAGAAUGCAUUGAACGGUCUCUCUGUAAUCGCUAUCAUAUUGGUUGCUCACAGCAAGGCUAAUGGAGGGAACUGCUCAAUUCAGGAAAAGUGUGUUUGUAAAGCAUUGAAACAUCAUUGUGGUCUGCCUGAAUUCAUCUGAAUGGUACAGGAGAAGAGAGAUGAUCAGAUGGGCCCUAACCAUAAGUGUUCUUAUAAGAAGGAAGCUAAGGAAGAUCUCACAUAGAAAAAGAAAGUAGUGUGAUGACUGAAGCAAGGUGCUGCAUUGCGGUCUUUGAAGAUGUGGGAUGCCACAAGCUAAGGAAGACAACAAACCACUCUAGAAAAUGGAAAACUUUGGAGAAAGGAACUGUCCCCCAGAAUCAUCCAAAAGCAAAACCCUGCAGACAUACUGACUCUGGCCUAGUGAAUCCUAUCACAGACCUUUGACUUCCAGAACUGCAAAAGAAUAAAACUGUCUUGUUUUAAGCCAUUAAAUU